CCAGUCGGCCGGACGGCCGCUCUCGCAAGAACUCAGGUUCUCGUGGGGGAGGAAAGUCCGGGCUCCACGGAAACACGGUGCCGGAUAACGUCCGGCGGGGGCGACCCCAGGGACAGCGCCACAGAGAUCGAACCGCCUGCGUGCCUCGGCUCGCAGGUAAGGGUGAAAAGGUGCGGUAAGAGCGCACCGCGGACCCGGCAACGGGGACGGCAUGGCAAGCCCCACCGGGAGCAAAACCGAAUAGGGACGAUGCUUUUCGCGCGAGCGGGGAGGGGCCUGUUUCUGGGCCUUGUCGUCCGGGUUGGUUGCUCGAGGCGCGCAGCAAUGCGCGUCCCAGAGGAAUGGCCGUCACGUCGGGGGAGCGAUCUCCCGGCCAUCCAAAACCCGGCUUACAGGCCGACUGGCAAU
rfam:Bosea sp. AAP35 AAP35_Contigs_48, whole genome shotgun sequence.